rnacentral:rRNA from 1 species
AUGAAAUUGUUACUAUACAUCUUUGAGCUCAUGUCUGGGCUCAAGAUCAAUUUCCAAAAAAGUGAAAUCCUAUGUGUGGGAGGGGAUGAUGAUACUCUUAAAGCAUAUGCUGAUAUGUUUAAUUGCCAAAUAGGGCACUUUCCCAUGAAAUAUCUGGGAGUGCCAGUGACCUUUUUCUCCUUGCGAGUUGCUGACUAG